GAAUAAUUCAUGGUAUGGCAGGCCCAUCCUUCUGGGUCUCUCAUAGUGCUCCAUGCCAUAGAAAACCAUGGCCUUGAACUAUUGCCUAGCCACUGCUUAUAGGUUGCAGGCACUGAAGCAGGUUGUACCGUU